rnacentral:piRNA from 1 species
UAAGAUGAAUUAGGUCAAUCGUGUGAUU